GCUCGCGGGGGGGGACUUCGAAACGGCGGGCGGGUAGCCCCAAGCUGCGGGUUGGUGGGGCUGAAAGCGCCGUCCGUGCGGGGGAGAACUGUGCUCUCUGGCAGAGGGAACAGCGCGGGCUCGGCUGGUGCACCUUACGCGAGCAGCAGCGGCUGUAGUGUUGUCUGGUUUCUGAGGAAACCGAGGCUCGUACCGAGAGGAGCUGCGUGGGACAGAAUGCAGGUUGCACUCCCGAAUCUGUGUGGUGUUGGAAAGGCUAUAGCAGCAUCUCCCAAAGGGGCAGAGAUCUCAGGCUGCUCCGUCGCUCCAAAGGCAUUGUAAACUUCGCUUCCAUAAAUCAAAGCUGUCACCUGGGCCGGUCUCCUCUUUUCCCAUGCAACUGUGUGCCUGUUGGAAACGUAGCUUGGCUCCUAAUCUAACAAUAUCCUCUUAUCUUGACUUUUCUUUCCAUUUCUGUUCCAAACCAAAUUAAGACACACCAACUUUAUGUUAAAACAGAGACUGCAUUCAAAUCCUUUGUAUUAAAUAGCAUCUGUGUUUGCAUUCUGUUUUAAUACAAAAUGCUUUGGAUUGCAGCUAAUACCAGGAGAUAUGAAACUGGUUAGUCCCCACAUGUUGCACAUAAAAAGAAUUCAUAAUGAGCAUCUGUGGGAUGUGGAAUGGAUCCCAUGAGUUAGCUGAAGACCUCAUAACGUAAGAGCUGAGAAGCCUAAGUGAAUUAUGACUCUCUUUCCUCGCAAGUAGGAUUAAUUUUCUAUCCCACUUAUAUUCAUUAUCUAUCCUGUUUAUACUAUAGGGACAUCAAUUGUUUGAGUGUUAAAUAUGAAGACUUUACAGAAACGUGUAGGUUAGAUAGCUUGCAGAGAAGAGGGGGGAAGGUUAUUACUAGCAAAAAUGUUAUUCAAACUCCAUAUUUAAAGAGCAGGAUUUGAUAAAGCUGCUCACUUUUUUUUUUUUUUUUUGAAAGGAGGGCAAAUUCUACGCUAUUCUCUUACAACAUAUUUAAAAUGUACAGUUUACAAAGUACCCUCCAUCUGCCUGUGGCCCUCCCAGUGAUGUCAAUAGGAAUUUUGCAUGCAGAUGAAGGCCUGUAUAUGGCCUUUAGAGAGCAGGUCAGUAAAUGGCUGGAGGAAUAAUUAAAGACUUCUGAGCUGCUCCUUUCCUUUUUCUUACAAUAUAGUACAAGACUGGCAUGAAUAUAGGCUGGGCUACCACUCUAAUUGGCUAUGGAAUAACACUGAAAGGAAUUUAAAUGUGGGCAGUAGCCAUUUUCCAAAUGAUCACUCCAUUACAGUAGUUUUGUCUGUCAAUGCAUGGCCAGGCAGUAGAGUGGAUGUAAUCAUGUCGAAGUCCCCAUCAUUCGCUGCUCUACAGUGGUAACUCUAAGCAGAUUUUCAUGUUUCAAAGGGGCAGCCGGGACAGAGCGCCUGCCUUCAGCAAGUUUACUUCAGCUUAAUCCCAAAUGUCACCCUUUUUCAUCCACGUAGGCAGAACCAGGAUCUCUGGAUAUUUAAUAAAAUCUCAUGACUAUUGAUUAAUACCUUAAUUUAAGUGUUAAUGUAACUGAAAAGCUAGUCAAGAUAACUUUGCUUGCACAAGUAGUCCCACUGGAUCAGUGGAACUACUGACAAGUAGUUUCUUGUGCUGUAAAACGAGCAGGAUUCAAAGAUGGGUUUGUGAAUGUCUACAGAAUACAGAAGCAUUUUCAUUCUCAUAGCCCCUAAAAAAGAUAUCAAGUAAGAAAACUUUGUCUCAUACCUGAAGGUAAGUCCAUUUUGAUUGUAUCUUUUUUUUUUCAAAAUUAACCACAAUGGCAAAAUCCAAUAAGAAUUUCUGAGACGUUAUACAAUGAUGAAAAUAUCAUCAAGCUUAUACUCUGUGCCAUAUUAAAUAGCUUGGACCCAAUUCACCGUGUAUUUCACUAGUGCUACAACCUGCCGUGAUGGAUUUAAAUUAAUUUGGUGCAGUAUGCUAGUGUAAAUGAGAUGAGAAGCAAGCCAAAGGUUUUUAAUGGAGUUUAUCUCUCAUUUUGCUCAAAUUAUUGACAGAUUCUGGUGCCCAAGUGACAUCGUCUUUGGCUCAGUACCAUAUACUAUUGUAAGAUAUUCUGCGAGUUGCUCUAGUAUUGAUUAAGGUGAAAAAAUAUCUCUUCUCUGGAAAUUCAUUUCCAUUUACUUAAAGUUAAAUGGUUUGACUUUGAAUUUUCAUUAUCUGCCGUUGGAAGGAGCCUGUGACAGCUCACCAUCUCUACAAGUGUCCGCUGAAUGUUGCUUCAGUUGCUGCUUCCAAAAUGCAUCAUCGCUGUGGAGCAAAUAAGCUCCUCAGAAGGUGCCCUGCAUAACAGUAAAUGUAGGAAGAGAAGGGAAAUGAAAAAUAACAGAGGAGAAGAAAACAAGAGAAGAUGGACCCGCAGGAAAAAUAUUGUGAACAGAACAGGGAUAAGGAGAUUCCUUAACUGACCCAUACUUUUCUUGCCUGUAAUAUUCCAAGAGCUUUGUAACAUACAAGCCGUGAAAAUAUUUUUCAUAUUAAUACCUCACAUAUAUCAGCUGCCUUAUAUCUCAAGUUAUAUUGCUGGAGUUAUUCCCAAAGGAAUUUAUAUAUGUAUAAUGCGAGAGAAAUAUAUAGUUAGGAAAGAAUUCCUUUUUGCUAUUUAUCAGCAGUGCAUGUUAGAGAAGAGCUGCAGUUAAAAAAAUACAGUUUCUUUCUAGAACUAUAUAAGAUAACAUAAUUUUCUUCUUCAAAUGAUGUCACGUGCUGCAUUUUGUUUUCAUUCCUUUGUAAAAGCAAUGACUGCAGUUGAAAGAAAAUAUUUGGAGUUUAAUUUUAAAUCAAAAAGAACUGGCUGUUCAUCCGUUCAGAAGAAAAACCUCUAAAUAGAACAUGAAGUCAGGAAAAAGACCAUCAAAACUUAAAUAGGAAGUACUCAGAUAUUUUCCAUCUUCACAAUUCCUUGACGUGUACUCAAGGCUCAAAGAGCAGGUGAGGGAAGUGUCUUUUCCGAAAGGUUGCACUGGGAAUGAAGGGCAAGAUUAAGGUAGCCCCCUCCCCCUCUAUAUUUAAAAGAAAAGCAAGCAGAGAGUAAGAUAGAAGGAAAGUGCCUGGGGAAAGUUGCAUCACUAUCGAAGUCAUAAAAGAUGUAUAAGGACAUCAGUGGAAGAACUAGAAAAACUAUUAGAAGAAUGCCCUACAGGGCUAUCCCAGUGGCUCAGCGAUUAGCACACUGUGCUGCCACUGGGAAAAUGCAGCUAAGGUUCAAGGCUGAUCUUAGGAUCUCACUCAUUGGUACUGUCAGCUGAGAGCCUUACGAGGGUGGUGAGUCCACAGUGGAGAAAGACUGAUACAUUGCUCGCAUGACCAAAGGUAGGUAUCUGGGCUCUGUUUUGACCACUGAUGUCAUCUCAGGAAGGAGUGAGGAUUGCGAUUUUUCUACUGUCAAUUAGCCUAAUUCGUUCCCGGUGCGCUAGCAAAGGAGCUCCCUGGCCUACUGCAUAAUGACAAAGGACAGCUGAUUUUCCAAGACUGGAACAUCAGUAUUAAAGUACAUUUCUCGUGUUGUAUACUUUGCCCUGGUCCCACAUUUUAGUGAAUGAGUUCUUUCUUAGCAGCAGAGGUUUCCUGCAGUGUUGAUGGCCCACAAAUUUUCUAGCAGCUCCAGCAGAAGAUCAAGGGACAGCCAGCUAGUUUUCCCAGACUCUGCUUCUGCAGAGAACACGUAAUCUGUGAUGUUCUUCCAGGCAGUUUAGCACCUGUGUAUCCAAUUCCCUUGUCUUCGAGAUCAGUGUAUGCUUCCAAAGUAGCAUAAUCUGCUACUUUAUUGGCAUCAAACUGAGGUCGUGGAGACCACAACUAAAUUGUGCUGCUUCCACCUCCACGAUUCAUAGUACACAGUCUGAUAAGAAGCUUAAUUCAAGGAAGAGGACAACCAAAUCAUGCAGAUACUUUUUUUAUCUCCAGGGCUUCUAAGAGGUAUCAGCAUAUUAUCUUGUGUUCUUACCACAUCCAGAUUUUUGGUCCAGUAAUUCCCUUUGGUCCUGCUCGUCCCUAAGGCAAGUGAAACUUACAAAGGACACAGGGCUAGUCAACACCACUUUUCCUUUUAUUUAUUUAUUUAUCUAUCUUUAUUUGUAGCCUUUGUCAGUGUUCCUAAAACAAAAUAAUCUGUGAAGCAGCUGUUGGUGUGUCCUGAAAAGACAACAUCAAUAGGCAGCUCAAGGUUUUUUGACUGUGCUUAUCCUUUCCCUCACUAAAUUGUCUUUCCCCUGUAAUUCAAAAGAAACAGAAUAUGCUCUUUCUUGUAAUUCUUUUUUUGAUGAGUGAAUCCACUUUAAUUAUAUAUACAGCAAAAAAAGCAUCAAGCUUUCACUCGGAGCUCUUUCAGACAAGUCUAGUACAGUCCAAUGUAGCCUUUCUUCCUUGGUAGCACCAGCAAUGCUCUGCUGGGUCAUGCAGCAGUGAACAUGAAACGAGCAUUCACAACACUACCAAUGCCUGUGUUUCCUUUCUUACAAUCCAAGUUGGAAGUCCCAAUCAGAACCAAACCCACCAGUGUAUAAGUAGGAGCUGGGAUCUCUCAGCAGCAGACAUUGUAAGUGUCCAGUACAGUUUAAAGCUGCGCUACGUCCUUAAAGCCAUGCUUCUCCACAGCUGGUUUGGGGUUUUUUUUUUCCUGUUUUAUAACAGCAGCAUUAUUUUUCCUCUCACUGAAGAAGACAGUGCCAGCAGCAUUAUUUUUCCUCUCACUGAAGAAGACAGUGCAUCGUGUUCCUGCAUAGCGUGGUCCCAGGUGGGCAGCCAUGUGAAUCUGGGACUCUGCGAACAGUUUCUGAAACUUCAAGCUUGUGUGAAAGUCAGAAAUAAAUACUUUGAUCUUUAGUCCUACUGUCUUUUUCAAAAAUAAUCAAGACUUCUAAGGAAAUGUGUGUGUCAAAUAUUUGAAUGCAGGCUAGCCUGCCUGAGAAUGCAUCCUUGAAUAGGUACAGGAAUAUUUAACAGAGCACUGUUCUUAUUAGUUGCAACUGUUUAUUAUUCUAUAAUUCCAGUUCUCACUGUUAAGAAGCUGAUUGUCCAAAUUCCUUCCUUUUUUUUUUCUUAAUCAAGAAAUUCAAGGGUUGUGCGUACUCACAGGAGGCCUUCAAAGUAUAAAUACAUCUCAAAUCUUACUUUUUCCAUUUCAAACUUUUCUUGGGUUAAGAAACAAACAAACCUUUCUAGUAUUUAUACAUGGUCUCUCAGAAACCUUAGAGAGAUAGCCUUAUUCAUGUCAAAGUUAGACUUCCAUCCAUAUUACUUGCAGUUCUGUCAUUGCUAUCCAUACUGUAACCAUUGAGAAGAACUAAGGAGUAUGACAUGCAGCAUUCAACCAAGUGUCCUUACAUUCCUUGCUCAAGGAGUUUAAUGUCAACAAAGCCAGAAAAUAAUCUGAUUUCUUUUCAGUCCAGUGCUAGACCUUUAAAUUUUCUUUUUCACGGGGAGAGUGGGCCCAGGGCUCAGUGCUCGGUCCAGUCCUGUUCAAUGUCUUUAUCAAUGACCUGAAUGAAGGGAUCCAAUGCACCUUAAGUAAGUUUGUGGAUGACACUAAGCUGGGUGGAAGCGUGGAUCUGCUGGAGGGUAGGGAGGCUCUGCAAAGGGAUCAGAACAGGCUGGAUUGAUGGGCUGAGACCAAUAGCGUGAGGUUUAACAAGGCCAAAUGCCGGGUCCUGCUCUUGGGGCACAACAACGCUAUGCAGUGCUACAGACUAGGAGAAGUCUGUCUAGAAAGCUGCCUGGAGGAGGAGGACCUGGGGGUGUUGGUUGACAGUCGUCUGAACAUGAGCCAGCAGUGUGCCCAGGUGGCCAAGAAGGCCAAUGGCAUCUUGGCUUGUAUCAGAAAUGGCGUGACCAGCAGGUCCAGGGAGGGGAUUCUCCCCCUGUACUCGGCACUGGUGAGGCCGCACCUCGAAUCCUGUGUUCAGUUCUGGGCCCCUCACUCCAAAAAGGAUGUUAAGGCUCUGGAGCGUGAACAGAGAGGAGCAACGAAGCUGGUGAGGGGGCUGCAGAACAAGUCUUACAAGGAGCGGCUGAGGAAACUGGGGUUCUUUAGCCUUGAGGAGAGGAGGCUGAAGGGGGACCUUAUUGCUCUCUAUAACUACCUGAAAGGAGGUUGUGGAGAGGAGGGAGCUGGGCUCUUCUCCUAGGUGACAGGGGACAGGACAAAGGGGAAUGGCCUCAAGCUCUGCCAGGGGAAGGUCAGGCUGGACAUCAUGAAAAAAUUUUUCACAGGAAGGGUCAUUGGGCACUGGCAGAGGCUGCCCAGGGAGGGGGUCGAAUCACCUUCCCUGGAGGUGUUUAAAAGACGGGUGGAUGAGGUGCUCAGGGACAUGGUUUAGCAGUUGAUAGGAAUGGUUGGACUCGGUGAUCGUGGAGGUCUUUUCCAACCUAGUGAUUCUAUGAUUCUAUGACUGGUCAGUGAAAGUCACUCCUUGCCAAGGAUAUCAACCUUUUCUUCUCCAUAUGUGAUGCAGAAGAAAAAGCAAGGGAACUCCUCCAGCCAAACUAUCAUUUCUCUUGACAUGGGUCCUUUAUUUUGGAGAAAACUUCCUACGGAUUGUCAGGCAUAUUUCAUUUAAUAUAGAUUUGGCCUUUUCAGUCUGGAAGAAGAAGAAAUAUCAGAGAGUUCAUAUGAGUAGAUGUUAUAACAAUAGCAAUGCAAUGACAGAGUUUUUAGUUGUGACCUGUAAUAAUCACUAUUCAUCUCCUCAGCUUCUCGAUUUCUGCAGCAACUUUGUGGAAAAAUGUUUUUGUUUCAGACUGUAGCAUCACAGGAAGUUUCAUCAUUAAAAAAUAUAAAUGGAAAAAUGAUUUCCUUUAAUUUCGCUAACUCAAUAUUUCUUCCUGAAGUAGUUAAACCACAUACAGAUAAAAAAUAUCAAACAGAUACAAGUAAUUUUGAAUCUUUUGGGGGGUAUUCAGACCAUAUAGCAGUAUUCUAAUAUUCAAAUGUAAUCACUGAAUUAAUCUAAACAUUAUAAUUUUGUCUUGAAGAAUAUUAUUAACAGUCCAUCGUAUUUUUUAUGCCAUCAAUUCAGUAACAGCUUUUCUGUGUGACUGGCCCCUUACUAUAUGCCAACCAAGUACAGCAACUAGAUAUAUACAGAAUAUACUAUAAGCUGUUACUCUUUCUGAAGCUGAACUUUUGAUUUUAAUCAGUCUUACUCAACUAUUGUCAGCUUAUGUAGAAGUACAUAAUUAUGUGGAAGAAGGGGCGAAGAACGGCAUAAUAAAGAUAAUCUAUACAAAAAAACCUUGAAUUAACAAAAUGACUAAUACUGAUAUA